UACUUUUAAUAUAACUUGAUCUGAGAUUCAAAUCCCUUUUAAAAUGAUGGUUUGUGUACAGGUUCCUACAAUACAAACGCUUUAGAGCAUUCUCUGUGUUCUUACACUGGAGACAUAUGUGGACAUGGGAUAUUUCAAUUUGGCAUAUGCUCACCAGUGAUGGAAGGAGAGCGACUAAACCAGAGAAAAUCCACUGGAAUCACGAGGGCCUUUAUUUCUGAUGUUGUGAGCUGGUUUGCGAUUCCUCAUUGCCAUGAUUCUAAAAAUAAUUCGCCAGGCCUGCGGGUCUUCCCAUGUGAAAAUACAGUAUGGGGACACUUCUCGCAGUCAGGGCUUCUUUCACAGAGACCCCAUAUCCUGAAUGCUUCCGUGACUGAUACAUUUGCAGUUCAGACUCAACUUUGCUGGAGGUGCGUCCGCCUUUAUUUUUAUGCCGAUGUUUUCUAAGACGAGUCAACUUUUGUUCUCUAAUGCUACAGCAAAGACAGGAAAAAAUUAGUUCUUUUUUCUUAAGCCAAACGAUGGCUUCUUAUUCUGGUGUAAUAAGCUUCCAGAAAUUCCUGCUCUCCCCCUCCUUCUCCACCUUUCAUUCUGAGAGACUUGCAACGGACUGGGCUAGGGGGAAUCUCGUAUUCCGUAAUGUUUAGCCGACAUUUGUUACUUGCCGGUCAGGGUAACUCACUGAGCGUUUCUAAUCUC